rnacentral:rRNA from 1 species
GACGAACGCUGGCGGCGUGCUUAACACAUGCAAGUCGAACGGAAAGGCCCUGCUUUUGUGGGGUGCUCGAGUGGCGAACGGGUGAGUAACACGUGGGUAACCUGCCCUUGACUUUGGGAUAACUUCAGGAAACUGGGGCUAAUACCGGAUAGGAGCUCCUGCUGCAUGGUGGGGGUUGGAAAGUUUCGGCGGUUGGGGAUGGACUCGCGGCUUAUCAGCUUGUUGGUGGGGUAGUGGCUUACCAAGGCUUUGACGGGUAGCCGGCCUGAGAGGGUGACCGGCCACAUUGGGACUGAGAUACGGCCCAGACUCCUACGGGAGGCAGCAGUGGGGAAUAUUGCACAAUGGGCGGAAGCCUGAUGCAGCAACGCCGCGUGCGGGAUGACGGCCUUCGGGUUGUAAACCGCUUUCGCCUGUGACGAAGCGCGAGUGACGGUAAUGGGUAAAGAAGCACCGGCUAACUACGUG